UCAAUCAAUAAAGGGCAUAUGGUGGAGACCUAGGGACCUAGAGCCGAUGAAGGGCGUGACAACCGACGAUAUGCCUCGGGGAGCAGGACGUAUGCACUGAUCCGAGGAUUCCCGAAUGGGGCAACCCAAUGCAUUCCUUCUUGAAUUCAUAGAGAAGAGAAAGACAACUUGGUGAACUGAAACAUCUUAGUAGCCAAAGGAAAAGAAAGCAAAAGCGAUUCCCAAAGUAGCGGCGAGCGGAAUGGGAACAGCCUAAAAGGACUUUGACAGCAAUGUAAAGACCAGGUCAUGGGACCAAACAUAUGGCAUUGUAUGGAAUGAGAAACGAAACAGCUGAAACCUGUACCAUAGAUGGUGAAAGUCCAGUCGUUGAAUCAAUACCAACUCCAGCCGUUUGGCUCCCGAGUAGUAUGGGACACGUGAAAUCCCGUAUGAAUUUGCGAGGACCACCUCGUAAGGCUAAAUACUCCUAGGUCACCGAUAGCGAAUAGUACCGCGAGGGAAAGGUGAAAAGAACCCCUUUACGGGGAGUGAAAUAGAACAUGAAACCGUAUGCUUACAAUUUGUGGGAGGAUGAACACAUCUGACCGCAUGCCUGUUGAAGAAUGAGCUGGCGACUUAGAAGAAGUGGCAGGUUAAGAUUUUCCAUCGAAGCCAAAGCGAAAGCAUGUCUGAUAAGGGCUCUCGUCCCUUCUUCUAGACCCGAACCCAGGUGAUCUAACCAUGACCAGAAUGAAGCUUUGGUGAUACGAAGUGGAGGUUCGAACCGACCGAUGUUGAAAAAUCGACGGAUGAGUUGUGGUUAGGGGUGAAAUGCCAAUCGAACUUGGAGCUAGCUGGUUCUCCUCGAAAUGCGUUGAGGCGCAGCGGUUGAUUAUGGACUUCUAGGGGGUAAAGCGCUGUCUCGGUGCGGGCUGCGAAAGCGGUACCAAUCUGUUGCAAACUCGGAAUACCUAGAAUGUUUUCAAUCAGCCAGUGAGACUGCGGGGGAUAAGCUCCGUAGUCAAAAGGGAAACAGCCCAGACCACCAGCUAAGGCUCCUAAAUAAAAGCUAAGUGGCAAAGGAGGUGAAAGUGCAGUGACAAUCAGGAGGUUUGCCUAGAAGCAGCCACCCUCUAAGGAGUGCGUAAUAGCUCACUGAUCAAGCGCUUUUGCGCCGAAAAUGACCGGAACUAAGUUUUUUGCCGAAGCUGUGGCUACAUCACACAGAUGAUGUAGGGUAGAGGAGCGUUCCGCCCAGGGGGAAGCCAAGCGCGUAAGCCGCGGUGGACAGGGCGGAAGUGAGAAUGUCAGCUUGAGUAACGUAAACAUUGGUGAGAAUCCAGUGCCCCGAAAACUCAAGGGUUCCUGCGCAAGGCUCGUCCGCGCAGGGUCAGUCAGGACCUAAGGUGAGGCCGAAAGGCGUAAUUGAUGGCAAGAAGGUUUAUAUUCCUUCACUAGUCUAGGCUUAGUCCUGAGGGACGAACAAAUAUCACUCAAACAAUGGCCUUCCUUGGCAGGAAGGGCAAAACCAUUGGGGUCUGUUGGUAUUUUUUCCAAGAAAAGCUCAUUCGACUUUGAGUCUAGACUACCUGUACCGUAAACCGACACAGGUGAGUGGGUUGAAUAAACUAAGGGGAGCGAGAUAACUCUCUCUAAGGAACUCGGCAAAUUGGCUCUGUACCUUCGGAAGAAAGAGUGCCCCUCAGGGGGCCGCAGUGAAGAGAUCCAGGCGACUGUUUACCAAAAACACAGGUCUCCGCAAAGUCGUAAGACGAUGUAUGGGGGCUGACACCUGCCCAGUGCCAGAAGGUUAAAGAAGUUGGUCAAUCUUUGAUGAAGCUAACAACUGAAGCCCUGGUGAACGGCGGCAGUAACUAUAACUGUCCUAAGGUAGCGAAAUUCCUUGUCGGGUAAGUUCCGACCCGCACGAAAGGUGU
rnacentral:rRNA from 1 species